AGUGAACGCUGGCGGUGGGCCUAAUACAUGCAAGUCGAACGGCAGCACAGUAAGAGCUUUCUCUUACGGUUAGCGAGUGGCGGACGGGUGAGGCAUACAUCAGAAUCUACUUUUUCGUGGGGGACAACGUAGGGAAACUGACGCUAAUAGCGAAUACGACCUACGGGUUAAAUCAGAAGAUAUUCACACCUUUGCCGUCUCUAUGAGACGGUGUCGGAUUAGCUAGUUGGCGUGGUAAAGGCCCACCAAGGCAACGAUCCGUAGCUGGCCUGAGAGGAUGAUCGGCCACACUGGAACUGAGACACGGUCCAGACUCCUACGGGAGGCAGCAGUGGGGAAUAUUGGACAAUGGGCGAAAGCCUGACGCAGCAAUGCCGCGUGGGUGAAGAAGGUCUUCGGAUUGUAAAGCCCUUUUAUUAGGAAAGAAAAGCUGUGUAUGAAACUGUGGACGUCUUGACGGUACCUAAUGAGUAAGCAACGGCUAACUACGUG
rnacentral:rRNA from 1 species